rnacentral:sRNA from 1 species
GCUGGGCAUGGUAUGGUGCACGCCUGUAAUCCCAGCAGCUCGGGAAGCUGAGACAGGAGAAUGCAAAUUCAAACCCAGCCUCAGCAAUGGCAAGGUGCUAAGCAACUCAGUGAGACUCUGUCUCUA